AGAUAUAUCUAAUAUAGAGAAAUUUGGAAAAUUGAUGACAUAGAUCAUUAUAGUUAAUUUUACAUUGGUUACUUACGCAAAAUGAGAUAUAUAUAUUUAAAAGACACCAAUCUGUUACGAAUCAUUACAUUAUAUUUUUACUGGAACGAAUAUAUAACAAUGAAACGUGUAUUGUACUCAGCCUCCAAGAAGAAGACCCUGCUAUAAAAAAACAUGUUUAUCAUAACCUCCAGUUAGAAACUGUGAACUUUGUCGGAGAUAGUGAUAAAGAUGUGAAUAUUGUUAGAUGUGUACUUCCUUAAAUGAGCGCUGCUUAUUAUAAAUUAGACAAUAAAUAUGUGUACUAACACUGAUUUUCAUGUAAAGCAUAUAUAUUGCAUAUAUGUUAUCGCGCUAAAAAUAACAAGCCAUAUGAACUAACAAUUUAGUUAAUGGGUUCGACUGUGAUCGCAGCAAACGUACUCAACAAUGCGUUUAGUUCAAUUUCAAACGCGGGGCAAAAAUGUUGGAACAAAGUUCCAGUGUAGAGCAAAACAAACGUUUAUGUUUUUAUCGACGUAUCGCUUUUGUGACUAUAGAAAUCGCAUUAAUAGCAGCAUUUUUGAGUUAUAGACACAAUAUCACAAGUUUGGAACAACUAAAUUGGUUUCACGUGGAAAAACUAGACGCAUUGUUAGAAAAUGCCACACCGAAUAAUACCGACUUAGCGGAACAGUUAGCUAAAGAAGUGCGUAUACUUUGUUGGAUUAUGACCACGCCGAAGAAUCACAAAACCAAAGCGGUACAUGUACGUCGCACGUGGGGUAAACAUUGCAAUCGGCUUUUGUUCGUCACCUCUCAAGAAGACGAACAGUUGGGUGAGACUAUAGUCGUUACCGAAGUGGAAGAUAAAUACGAGGUAUUAUGGCCCAAGAAGCGGAUAGCAAUCGAGCGAAUGUAUGCAAAAUAUGCCAACGAGACGGAUUGGUUCUUCAAGGCUGAUGAUGAUGCUUAUGCCUACAUUGAAAAUAUGCGCUAUUUUCUUUAUGCAUAUAGCCCGGAAAUGCCGAUUCACUUUGGUUACAACCUAUUAUAUGGCGGACGAAAAGCAGAGGUUUAUAUGUCUGGUGGUAGCGGUUUUGUUUCAAGUCGCGAAGCAUAUCGACUUUUCGUCGAAAAGGCCAUUGUUAAUACAACUGGCUGUAAUGUAAAUGAUUAUAAUAUUCCUGAUGAUGUGGCUAUAGGUGAAUGCUUUCGUGCUGUGGAUGUGCUUGCUGGCGAUUCACGCGACACACAUGGCGAAGCGCGAUUUUUUCUAUUCUCACCAUAUAUGAUGCUUAUGCCAGAGGUGAUGACAGAACCAUUUUGGUAUUUCAAUUACAGUUUCUAUAAUCCACAUUCGUGCAGAGACUGUCUGGCGAAAUAUGCCAUAUCCUUUCAUUAUAUGUCUCCAAAGGAUAUGUAUUUGAGUGAAUUUAUGAACUAUGAAUUCUAUACGAUAGAUCUGCCCAAUGAGCCGGAGGAGGUUUUACCUAAGAAGCUAAGUAUGGACGAAGUGGUCAUACUGGAAACUGAUAAUAUUUGGAAUACUCAAUAGUGUUUAUUUGUUUAUUUGCUAUGAUAUGGCCGAAUAUGAAAGGCGCAAUGGGAAAAUAAAUAAUGAAAACAGCAUCGACUUUUAAUAACAUAAUUUGGGUGUCAGACUCAACUAAUAUUACUAUAUACCUGAAGAUUGCGCUGUGGCUAACCGUGACUAUUUUAAUUUUUCUGCGACGAAUGAAAACAGUAAAGCCAAUUUUAUACUAUCGCAACAAAGUUGCUAAAGAGAGUAUUAUAGUUUUGAUCACAUAACGGUUGGUUGUAAGUCCCAAGUUAGAUAUAGGGUUAUGCAUAUCAAAAUGAUCAGGGUGACGAGUAAAGUUCAAAUCCGGAUGUCUGUUUGUCCGUCCGUCCGUGCAAGCUGUAACUUGAGUAAAAAUUGAAAUAUCUUGAUGAAACUUGGUAGACGUAUUUCUUGGCACCAUAAGAAGAUUAAGUUCGAACCUACAAAAGGGCAAUAACCGAAAACAUUUAAAGAGCUGUAACUAAGCUACUAUAAUUUUUUUUGUGGAAGUGAGUUUUUUGUACAUAUCUCGUAAGCUACUUAAUUAACGAAACUUUCUAGAGUCGUUUCUUUUAGGUA